rnacentral:rRNA from 1 species
GACGUAGGAUGCAAGCGUUGUCCGGAUUUAUUGGGCGUAAAGAGUUCGUAGGCGGUUUGUUAAGUCUGACGUUAAAGAUCAGGGCUCAACCCUGGGAUUGCUUCGGAUACUGGCAGACUGGAGUGUGGUAGAGGUAAGUGGAAUUUCUGGUGUAGCGGUGAAAUGCGUAGAUAUCAGAAAGAACACCGGUGGCGUAGGCGACUUACUGGGCCAUAACUGACGCUGAGGAACGAAAGCCAGGGGAGCAAAUGGG